AUUGGACGCUGGCGGCAGGCCUAACACAUGCAAGUCGAACGGUAGCACAGAGAGCUUGCUCUCGGGUGACGAGUGGCGGACGGGUGAGUAAUGUCUGGGAAACUGCCCGAUGGAGGGGGAUAACUACUGGAAACGGUAGCUAAUACCGCAUAACGUCGCAAGACCAAAGUGGGGGACCUUCGGGCCUCACACCAUCGGAUGUGCCCAGAUGGGAUUAGCUAGUAGGUGGGGUAAUGGCUCACCUAGGCGACGAUCCCUAGCUGGCCUGAGAGGAUGACCAUCCACACGGGAACUGAGACACGGUCCAGACUCCUACGGGAGGCAGCAGUGGGGAAUAUUGCACAAUGGGCGCAAGCCUGAUGCAGCCAUGCCGCGUGUAUGAAGAAGGCCUUCGGGUUGUAAAGUACUUUCAGCGGGGAGGAAGGCGGUGAAGUUAAUAACUUCACCGAUUGACGUUACCCGCAGAAGAAGCACCGGCUAACUCCGUGCCAGCCGCCGCAGUAA
rnacentral:rRNA from 1 species